GACGAACGCUGGCGGCGUGCUUAACACAUGCAAGUCGAGCGGAGCGGCGAACUGGCGAGCAACGCGUGAGUAACUGCCCCCCUCCCUGGGAUAACAGUUGGAAACGGCUGCUCAUACCGGAUAGUGGGGGAUGACUCGCGUCCUAUCAGCUUGUUGGUGGGGUAGUGGCCUACCAAGGCGACGACGGGUCGCCUGCCUGCGAGGGCGACCUGCCACAUUGGGCUGAGGAAGGGCCCAAAGUCCUACGGGGGGCAGCGGUGGGGAAUAGUGCGCAAUGGGGGAAACCCUGAUGGAGCAAUCCGGGUGCGUGAUGACUGCCUUCGGGGUGGAAACCGCUUUCAGCCAUUACGCGGUAGUGGCAGAAGAAGCACCGGCUAACUACGUGCCAGCAGCCGCGGUAAUAC
rnacentral:rRNA from 1 species